UUCACGGGACAUAAAAAGUUGCCCAACGAUGUCAACAUAAAUAUUAUACGAUGUCGUUGGACGAUAUCUCCUGCUGCUAACUGUAAGACUAUAUCAUACUGUUUAGAUGAAGAGAUAGGGCGUGAUGACAUAUUUAUAGAACGGUUGUUAUGAAUGCUACUGCUGCUCGUCAUUUAUUGAAGGGCGCUCUCGUCAAAACCAAAUCAAUUGUCGGAAAAAUGUCGACAUUCCAUGGUGUUAAAGAUCUUUUUGGAGGAAUCAUUGUUCGAUCAAACCAGGAGCCGCACGAAAGGAGCAAAAUGGAACAGCUUCUAAAAGAAUCUCUGCAAGCUUGGACUUGCAAUGGUGUGAGGGGUGUGUGGUUUGAAGUUGAACCAGCCUUUUCGGAAUGGAUUCCUGUGCUGAUUCAGAAUGGCUUUUCUUUUCAUCAUGCAAAUCCAGAGUUGAGUGUCUUGCUCAAAUGGUUGCCAUCUGAUGAACCCUGUCAAGUACCAGGCUAUGCACAUACAAUGGUUGGUGCAGGGGCCAUGGUUAUUAAUGAAAAAAAAGAAAUUCUUGUAGUUCAGGAGAAGUAUUAUCAACGGCCACAUUGGAAACUUCCAGGUGGCUAUGUGGAUCCAGGUGAGAGUAUAGCAACCGCUGUCCGAAGAGAGGUUUUUGAGGAGACUGGUAUAAAGACCGAAUUCGUAUCGCUCGUUGCGGUUCGUCAUCUCCAACCAAUAGAGAAGAAUCCCAGUGCAAGAUAUGGCUGUUCUGACAUCUAUUUUGUAGCAUAUCUCAGACCUGUUGAAGGAACGGAAAUCAAAAUAUGCCAUCGUGAGCUCAAAAGUGCCUGUUGGAUGCCGUUAACCGAGUACGCGACUCAUCCGCUGGCUUUCGAGGUCGGCAAAAUCUUUGCAAACCAGCUAAUGGCGAUUACCGAUGUGGCGUCGGCAUAGACGAUUUCGUAAAGUUCCGUCAACAAUGGCUGAUCGUUUGACACAGCUUCAAGACGCGAUUAAUGCGCAAGCAGAUAAUUUUUGCAAUGCUAUCGGUAUCUUACAACAAACCGCCCCACCGGCUACUUUCCCGGGCUUCGAUCGCGCAGGCAAUCGAACCCCUCAACAACAACAAGAAGACCACGCUUCCCUUUUUGCCACGCUAAUUGC
rnacentral:misc_RNA from 1 species